GAUGAACGCUGGCGGCGUGCCUAAUACAUGCAAGUCGAGCGAACAGACGAGGAGCUUUCUCCCUUAACGUUAGCGGCUGACGGGUGAGUAACACGUACAUAAGCUUCCUAUAUUUCUUGGAUAAUUUCGGGAAACCGGAUCUAAUACUGGAUCAUAUAUUGAACCGCAUGGAUCAAUAGUGAAAGACGGCUUUGCUGUCACUUAUAGACGGAUCCGCGCCGGAUUAGCUAGUUGGUAAGGUAACGGCUUACCAAGGCUACGAUGCGUAGCUGACCUGAGAGGGUGAUCGGCCACACUGGAACUGAGACACGGUCCAGACUCCUACGGGAGGCAGCAGUGGGGAAUAUUGCGCAAUGGGCGAAAGCCUGACCCAGCAACGCCGCGUGAGUGAAGAAGGUCUUCGGAUUGUAAAACCCUUUUAUUAGGAAAGAAAAGCUGUGUGUGUAAACACCGACGUUUUGACGGUACCUAAACAGAAAGCACCGGCUAACUUCGUG
rnacentral:rRNA from 1 species